rnacentral:rRNA from 1 species
GUGGGGAAUAUUGGGCAAUGGGCGCAAGCCUGACCCAGCAACGCCGCGUGAAGGAAGAAGGCUUUCGGGUUGUAAACUUCUUUUACCAGGGACGAAACAAAUGACGGUACCUGGUGAAUAAGCCACGGCUAACUACGUGCCAGCAGCCGCGGUAAUACGUAGGUGGCGAGCGUUAUCCGGAUUUAUUGGGUGUAAAGGGCGUGUAGGCGGGACAGCAAGUCAGAUGUGAAAACCAGAGGCUCAACCUCUGGCCUGCAUUUGAAACUGUUGUUCUUGAGUGGCGGAGAGGUAAUCGGAAUUCCGUGUGUAGCGGUGAAAUGCGUAGAUAUACGGAGGAACACCAGUGGCGAAGGCGGAUUACUGGACGAUAACUGACGCUGAGGCGCGAAAGCGUGGGGAGCAAACAGGAUUAGAAACCCGUGUAGUCC